UAAUACACUAGCAAAGUGGUCACGACAAACCGACAGAUAGAAAAAAUAGAGGAUAAGAAAUCAUGAAAUCAGUGUUAUCAAAAUGAAGUGCAUAAUUAAAAAUGAUUUUUGUACCACAAUGAUUAAAAAGACCCCUCAGUCACUAAACUACUACUAUUCCUACAUAUAUACACCUGUUUCUUUUUUAUAAAAACAUCACCACACAGAAAUGGCUCGUGUAGGUUCAAAACGGUUAGUCUCUGUAGACUUAAACAAGAAACCAUGGGAGCAGGAGCUACCUCUUCACAACCGGUGGCAUCCGGAGAUACCUCCGGUUGCGGAGGCGACAACCGGCGAACUUUUCAGAGUUGAGAUGAUAGAUUUCAGUGGUGGUGCUAUCACUAAAAAUCCCACUGCUGAUGAUGCCAAACACGUUGAUCUCUCUCAAGUGCAUUACCUUAGUGGGCCAAUAAGAGUUGUGGACAAUGAUGGCCUCCCAGCCAUGCCUGGAGAUUUGCUUGCUGUUGAAAUAUGCAACUUAGGUCCUCUCCCUGGUGAUGAAUGGGGCUUUACAGCAACAUUUGACAGAGAAAACGGAGGCGGUUUCUUGACAGAUCAUUUUCCUCAUGCCACAAAAGCUAUCUGGUACUUUGAAGGGAUAUAUGCUUAUUCACCUCAGAUACCAGGAGUGAGGUUUCCAGGUAUAACACAUCCUGGUAUAAUUGGAACUGCACCAUCAAUGGAACUUCUAAACAUAUGGAAUGAAAGAGAAAGAGAUGUGGCAGAAAAUGGUCUUCAGUCUCUUAAACUAUGUGAGGUUUUGCAUUCCAGACCCUUGGCAAACUUACCAACACCAAGAAAUUGUCACCUCGGAAAGAUUGAAAAAGGUUCUAAUGAAUGGGAGAAGAUUGCAAGGGAAGCAGCAAGAACAAUACCUGGAAGAGAAAACGGUGGAAAUUGUGACAUAAAAAAUCUAAGCAGAGGUUCAAAGGUAUACCUUCCUGUUUUUGUAGAAGGAGCAAAUCUCAGCACUGGUGACAUGCACUUUUCACAGGGUGAUGGUGAGGUCUCACUAUGUGGUGCAAUUGAAAUGAGUGGUUUCUUAGAACUCAAGUGUGAUAUUAUAAGGGGUGGAAUGAAAGAGUACCUUACACCAAUGGGCCCCACUCCCCUUCAUGUGAACCCAAUAUUUGAGAUAGGCCCUGUUGAACCAAGAUUCUCAGAGUGGUUAGUGUUUGAGGGCAUUAGUGUGGAUGAAUAUGGGAAGCAACACUACCUUGAUGCUUCUGUUGCAUACAAAAGAGCAGUACUCAAUGCUAUUGACUACAUAUCCAAGUUUGGUUACUCCAAAGAACAGGUGUACCUUCUGCUAUCUUGUUGUCCUUGUGAAGGAAGAAUAUCUGGAAUUGUUGAUGCUCCAAAUGCUUGUGCAACACUGGCCAUCCCAACAGCUAUAUUUGAUCAGGAUAUUCGUCCGAAAAAUAACAAGGUACCAGUUGGACCUCGGCUUGUGAGGAAACCAGAUGUCUUCAAAUGCACUUAUGAUGGGAACCUGCCCAUUACAAAGAAUGCCAGUGCCUCAUCGUGAUUUCUCUAAUCUGGAAUUUAUGUCACAUGCUGUUGUAACAUAUUCCAGAACUGGUUCGAUGGACAUUGGACAAUAGUAGAAGUUCCAGAUCUGUUUCGUGGCAUUCUCUUCUUUAAAGUUUAUUUGGCGAGACAUGAAAUUGUCAAGGACGGGGCACAAUUGUGUGGGGGUGUAGUGAAGUCGAAACUUCUAAAGUUUAAACUUUAAACACGUGUAUUUUGAAUGCAGUGAGUUUGGUAUAAUCUGAACAUCUAUUGGGUUGUGUUCUGUGCUGGAACCAAACCAAAGAUAAGUGAAGAUCGAGUGGAUCAAAGUUCCAAUACGGUUGAGUGAAUUUCUGAUACGGUGGAGUGGAUCUACAAGAUUUGUAUUCCGAUAUCAAAGUCAGUUAAUAAAUGAGUAAGUAGUUUGAGUA